rnacentral:rRNA from 2 species
UCCGUAGGGUGAACCUGCGGAGGGAUCAUUAUAGAGUUUUCUAAACUCCCAACCCAUGUGAACUUACCUUUUGUUGCCUCGGCAGAAGUUAUAGGUCUUCUUAUAGCUGCUGCCGGUGGACCAUUAAACUCUUGUUAUUUUAUGUAAUCUGAGCGUCUUAUUUUAAUAAGUCAAAACUUUCAACAACGGAUCUCUUGGUUCUGGCAUCGAUGAAGAACGCAGCGAAAUGCGAUAAGUAAUGUGAAUUGCAGAAUUCAGUGAAUCAUCGAAUCUUUGAACGCACAUUGCGCCCAUUAGUAUUCUAGUGGGCAUGCCUGUUCGAGCGUCAUUUCAACCCUUAAGCCUAGCUUAGUGUUGGGAAUCUACUUCUCUUAGGAGUUGUAGUUCCUGAAAUACAACGGCGGAUUUGUAGUAUCCUCUGAGCGUAGUAAUUUUUUUCUCGCUUUUGUUAGGUGCUAUAACUCCCAGCCGCUAAACCCCCAAUUUUUUGUGGUUGACCUCGGAUCAGGUAGGAAUACCCGCUGAACUUAAGCAUAUCAAUAAGCGGAGGAA